ensembl:snRNA U2 U2 spliceosomal RNA
AUCGCUUCUCGGCCUUUUGGCUAAGAUCAAAUGUAGUAUCUAAAUGGAUAUACCUUGAGACCAUACUCUUAAAUGAAAUAAUUUGGACACACAUGUUUAAAUACUGCAUUGUUUCUCUGGUGUGAGAAACCGAAAGUGGAAAUAAA